rnacentral:rRNA from 1 species
GACGAACGCUGGCGGCGUGCUUAACACAUGCAAGUCGAACGGAAAGGCCCUGCUUUUGUGGGGUGCUCGAGCGGCGAACGGGUGAGUAACACGUGAGUAACCUGCCCUUGACUUUGGGAUAACUUCAGGAAACUGGGGCUAAUACCGGAUAGGAGCUCCUGCUGCAUGGUGGGGGUUGGAAAGUUUCGGCGGUUGGGGAUGGACUCGCGGCUUAUCAGCUUGUUGGUGGGGUAGUGGCUUACCAAGGCUUUGACGGGUAGCCGGCCUGAGAGGGUGACCGGCCACAUUGGGACUGAGAUACGGCCCAGACUCCUACGGGAGGCAGCAGUGGGGAAUAUUGCACAAUGGGCGGAAGCCUGAUGCAGCCACGCCGCGUGCGGGAUGACGGCCUUCGGGUUGUAAACCGCUUUCGCCUGUGACGAAGCGUGAGUGACGGUAAUGGGUAAAGAAGCACCGGCUAACUACGUG